AGGGUUAAAUGAACUAAUAUGAGGUUUCACAGGGUUAAAUGAACUAAUAUGAGGUUUCACAGGGUUAAAUGAACUAAUAUGAGGUUUCACAGGGUUAAAUGAACUAAUAUGAGGUUUCACAGGGUUAAAUGAACUAAUAUGAGGUUUCACAGGGUUAAAUGAACUAAUAUGAGGUUUCACAGGGUUAAAUGAACUAAUAUGAGGUUUCACAGGGUUAAAUGAACUAAUAUGACGAGGUUUCACAGGGUUAAAUGAACUAAUAUGACGAGGUUUCACAGGGUUAAAUGAACUAAUAUGAGGUUUCACAGGGUUAAAUGAACUAAUAUGAGGUUUCACAGGGUUAAAUGAACUAAUAUGAGGUUUCACAGGGUUAAAUGAACUAAUAUGAGGUUUCACAGGGUUAAAUGAACUAAUAUGAGGUUUCACAGGGUUAAAUGAACUAAUAUGAGGUUUCACAGGGUUAAAUGAACUAAUAUGAGGUUUCACAGGGUUAAAUGAACUAAUAUGAGGUUUCACAGGGUUAAAUGAACUAAUAUAAUGAGGUUUCACAGGGUUAA